GGACACAGUUAUCCGACUAGGAAAUCCUAGAACAGCAUGUUUCCCAGGUUAGUUCCUGCUUCUUCUGCCUCUUCAUCCUGCUCUGGGCCCAGCUAUGAGCUCCUACAAUUGGCCUGUAUUCUUUCAACCAGGAAACACAAUGCCCAGCAGGGUCCCAGCCUGUCUGAUCCUGCCCUGAUGCUUGGAAAAAAAGAACAUGACAAAACGAUGUGAUUCCCAUAAGAAGCCACCGAAUUAGAUGUGUCAUCCCAGUGAACAUGUCCAAUAUGAUGCCGAACUUCAAGUCUCAUGAUGGACAGCCAAGCACCUGCUCAGCGUACCCCACGCUCAUGUUCAUGAUAAACCCAGAGAGCUGGUAAACUUAAUUGCUCUGAACUCUGUAAGGACACUUCACAUACUCAAGGCUGUCUCAUUUCCUUGCUCCAGUGAAAUUUAUAACCUAAGAUGUACACAUUGACAGAGGCAUAGAGAA